GGGUUGUGAGGUUAAGCGACUAAGCGUACACGGUGGAUGCCCUGGCAGUCAGAGGCGAUGAAGGACGUGCUAAUCUGCGAAAAGCGUCGGUAAGGUGAUAUGAACCGUUAUAACCGGCGAUGUCCGAAUGGGGAAACCCAGUGCAAUUCGUUGCACUAUCGUUAACUGAAUACAUAGGUUAACGAGGCGAACCGGGGGAACUGAAACAUCUAAGUACCCCGAGGAAAAGAAAUCAACCGAGAUUCCCCCAGUAGCGGCGAGCGAACGGGGAGCAGCCCAGAGUCUGAAUCAGCUUGUGUGUUAGUGGAACGGUCUGGAAAGUCCGACGGUACAGGGUGAUAGUCCCGUACACCAAAAUGCACAGGCUGUGAACUCGAAGAGUAGGGCGGGACACGUGGUAUCCUGUCUGAAUAUGGGGGGACCAUCCUCCAAGGCUAAAUACUCCUGACUGACCGAUAGUGAACCAGUACCGUGAGGGAAAGGCGAAAAGAACCCCGGCGAGGGGAGUGAAAAAGAACCUGAAACCGUGUACGUACAAGCAGUGGGAGCACCUUCGGGUGUGACUGCGUACCUUUUGUAUAAUGGGUCAGCGACUUAUAUUCUGUAGCAAGGUUAACCGUAUAGGGGAGCCGCAGGGAAACCGAGUCUUAACUGGGCGUUAAGUUGCAGGGUAUAGACCCGAAACCCGGUGAUCUAGCCAUGGGCAGGUUGAAGGUUGGGUAACACUAACUGGAGGACCGAACCGACUAAUGUUGAAAAAUUAGCGGAUGACUUGUGGCUGGGGGUGAAAGGCCAAUCAAACCGGGAGAUAGCUGGUUCUCCCCGAAAGCUAUUUAGGUAGCGCCUCGUGAAUUCAUCUUCGGGGGUAGAGCACUGUUUCGGCUAGGGGGUCAUCCCGACUUACCAACCCGAUGCAAACUACGAAUACCGAAGAAUGUUAUCACGGGAGACACACGGCGGGUGCUAACGUCCGUCGUGAAGAGGGAAACAACCCAGACCGCCAGCUAAGGUCCCAAAGUCAUGGUUAAGUGGGAAACGAUGUGGGAAGGCACAGACAGCCAGGAUGUUGGCUUAGAAGCAGCCAUCAUUUAAAGAAAGCGUAAUAGCUCACUGGUCGAGUCGGCCUGCGCGGAAGAUGUAACGGGGCUAAACCAUGCACCGAAGCUGCGGCAGCGACACUAUGUGUUGUUGGGUAGGGGAGCGUUCUGUAAGCCUGCGAAGGUGACCUGUGAGGGUUGCUGGAGGUAUCAGAAGUGCGAAUGCUGACAUAAGUAACGAUAAAGCGGGUGAAAAGCCCGCUCGCCGGAAGACCAAGGGUUCCUGUCCAACGUUAAUCGGGGCAGGGUGAGUCGACCCCUAAGGCGAGGCCGAAAGGCGUAGUCGAUGGGAAACAGGUUAAUAUUCCUGUACUUGGUGUUACUGCGAAGGGGGGACGGAGAAGGCUAUGUUAGCCGGGCGACGGUUGUCCCGGUUUAAGCAUGUAGGCUGGUUGUCCAGGCAAAUCCGGAUAAUCAAGGCUGAGGUGUGAUGACGAGGUACUACGGUGCUGAAGUAACAAAUGCCCUGCUUCCAGGAAAAGCCUCUAAGCAUCAGGUAACAUUAAAUCGUACCCCAAACCGACACAGGUGGUCAGGUAGAGAAUACCAAGGCGCUUGAGAGAACUCGGGUGAAGGAACUAGGCAAAAUGGUGCCGUAACUUCGGGAGAAGGCACGCUGGUGUGUAGGUGAAGUCCCUGCGGAUGGAGCUGAGACCAGUCGAAGAUACCAGCUGGCUGCAACUGUUUAUUAAAAACACAGCACUGUGCAAACACGAAAGUGGACGUAUACGGUGUGACGCCUGCCCGGUGCCGGAAGGUUAAUUGAUGGGGUUAUCCGUAAGGAGAAGCUCUUGAUCGAAGCCCCGGUAAACGGCGGCCGUAACUAUAACGGUCCUAAGGUAGCGAAAUUCCUUGUCGGGUAAGUUCCGACCUGCACGAAUGGCGUAAUGAUGGCCAGGCUGUCUCCACCCGAGACUCAGUGAAAUUGAACUCGCUGUGAAGAUGCAGUGUACCCGCGGCAAGACGGAAAGACCCCGUGAACCUUUACUAUAGCUUGACACUGAACAUUGAGCCUUGAUGUGUAGGAUAGGUGGGAGGCUUUGAAGCGUGGACGCCAGUCUGCGUGGAGCCAACCUUGAAAUACCACCCUUUAAUGUUUGAUGUUCUAACGUUGGCCCCUGACCGGGGUUGCGGACAGUGUCUGGUGGGUAGUUUGACUGGGGCGGUCUCCUCCCAAAGCGUAACGGAGGAGCACGAAGGUUAGCUAAUCCUGGUCGGACAUCAGGAGGUUAGUGCAAUGGCAUAAGCUAGCUUGACUGCGAGCGUGACGGCGCGAGCAGGUGCGAAAGCAGGUCAUAGUGAUCCGGUGGUUCUGAAUGGAAGGGCCAUCGCUCAACGGAUAAAAGGUACUCCGGGGAUAACAGGCUGAUACCGCCCAAGAGUUCAUAUCGACGGCGGUGUUUGGCACCUCGAUGUCGGCUCAUCACAUCCUGGGGCUGAAGUAGGUCCCAAGGGUAUGGCUGUUCGCCAUUUAAAGUGGUACGCGAGCUGGGUUUAGAACGUCGUGAGACAGUUCGGUCCCUAUCUGCCGUGGGCGCUGGAGAAUUGAGGGGGGCUGCUCCUAGUACGAGAGGACCGGAGUGGACGCAUCACUGGUGUUCGGGUUGUCAUGCCAAUGGCACUGCCCGGUAGCUAAAUGCGGAAGAGAUAAGUGCUGAAAGCAUCUAAGCACGAAACUUGCCCCGAGAUGAGUUCUCCCUGAGACUUUAAGUCUCCUGAAGGAACGUU
rnacentral:rRNA from 2 species